AUUGAACGCUGGCGGCAGGCCUAACACAUGCAAGUCGAGCGGAUGAAGGGAGCUGGCUCCUGGAUUCAGCGGCGGACGGGUGAGUAAUGCCUAGGAAUCUGCCUGGUAGUGGGGUAUAAAGUCCGAAAACGGGCGCUAAUACCGCAUACGUCCUGAGUGAGAAAGUGGGGGAUCUUCGGACCUCACGCUAUCAGAUGAGCCUAGGUCGGAUUAGCUAGUUGGUGGGGUAAAGGCCUACCAAGGCGACGAUCCGUAACUGGUCUGAGAGGAUGAUCAGUCACACUGGAACUGAGACACGGUCCAGACUCCUACGGGAGGCAGCAGUGGGGAAUAUUGGACAAUGGGCGAAAGCCUGAUCCAGCCAUGCCGCGUGUGUGAAGAAGGUCUUCGGAUUGUAAAGCACUUUAAGUUGGGAGGAAGGGCAGUAAGUUAAUACCUUGCUGUUUUGACGUUACCAAAAGAAUAAGCACCGGCUAACUUCGUG
rnacentral:rRNA from 1 species